GGAAGCCUUACAACUGAGAUGUUCUCAGUGGUACCUGUUUCUGUGGGGAAACAAUGGAACUUCGAGAGGGCACUUAGCAUCAAGUCAGUCCUUCCCAGAGGAAUCCCAUAAUCCCAACGUUGUGAAUGGAACAACGAGACUGUCAGACUAUCUUGGGAGCGCACCCCAUGGCUGCGGAGUUGGCAGUGGUGUUUUUGACUUCCUGCUCCAGAAAUUUCACAAAAUGCCUUACAGUGGAAAAGCAAGCUGCUGCUGCUGUACUCUGAGCCAACGACUUCAGUGACCUCCCAGUGAUGAUUACAAGAAACCUUUUCUGAGUACUCAGCCUGUUCCACAUUCAAUGUCAUGUAAGUGUGACUAUAAGACCUCUAACAUGCAGCUAUACUUAUAUCUGCACUGGAGUGCAUCUGGCACCUUCCUGACUCCUCAUCAUUUCCUCAUCAUCAAUGCAUCUUUUGACAACUAAUUUCCG
rnacentral:lncRNA from 1 species